rnacentral:rRNA from 1 species
AUUGAACGCUGGCGGCAUGCUUUACACAUGCAAGUCGAACGGUAACAGGUUAAGCUGACGAGUGGCGAACGGGUGAGUAAUGCAUCGGAACGUGCCCGAUCGUGGGGGAUAACGCAGCGAAAGCUGCGCUAAUACCGCAUACGAUCUGAGGAUGAAAGCGGGGGACCGUAAGGCCUCGCGCGAUCGGAGCGGCCGAUGUCAGAUUAGGUAGUUGGUGGGGUAAAGGCUCACCAAGCCAACGAUCUGUAGCUGGUCUGAGAGGACGACCAGCCAAACUGGGACUGAGCCACGGCCCAGACUCCUACGGGAGGCAGCAGUGGGGAAUUUUGGACAAUGGGCGAAAGCCUGAUCCAGCAAUGCCGCGUGCAGGAUGAAGGCCUUCGGGUUGUAAACUGCUUUUGUACGGAGCGAAAAGGUCUCUUCUAAUACAGGAGGCCCAUGACGGUACAGUAAGAAUAAGCACCGGCUAACUACGUGCCAGCAGCCGCGGUAA